AAUUACACGUUGGUGCCUGGGAAGCAUUUGAGAAGGGGCAGGAUGUCCAUAUGCAAGCAGCCCCAUCCCAAGCUGAGCUGCUUUGCAAGGAUUUCAAGAUAAUGAAGGAAAAAUUGAAGUUCAAACAAAGGACACUAUUUUGGAGAAGUACGGCAGUGCAGCUGAUGAGGACAAACUUCCAAGGGAACUUCUUUUGGGUCAAAGCGAGAGGCAGGUUGAGUAUGACCGUGCUGGUAGAAUUAUAAAGGGACAGGAGGCAGCACUUCCCAAGAGCAAGUAUGAGGAAAACAUCUACAUUAACAACCACACUGCUGUUUGGGGUUCCUGGUGGAAGGAUCACCAAUGGGGCUAUAAUUGCUGCAAACAGACCAUACGAAACAGCUAUUGCACAGGAGCUGCUGGUAUUGAGACUGCAAGUGAUCUCAUGAACGCUAACAUUGCUCAUAAUGAGUCUGCUGAAGGAGGAUCAAAGAACGAGAAAGAUGAGGGGAAGCGUAAAUAUAAUGUUAAAUAUUGGGAUGAUGAGG